AGCGGCAUAGCUCAAUGGAAAGAGCCUGGGCUUGAGAUUCAGAGGAUCUGGGUUCCAAUUCUAGCUCUGCCA
rnacentral:tRNA from 1 species